rnacentral:rRNA from 1 species
UACAGAGGUCCCAAGCGUUGUUCGGAUUCAUUGGGCGUAAAGGGUGCGUAGGCGGCGCGGUAAGUCGGGUGUGAAAUCUCGGGGCUUAACUCCGAAACUGCAUUCGAUACUGCCGUGCUUGAGGACUGGAGAGGAGACUGGAAUUUACGGUGUAGCGGUGAAAUGCGUAGAUAUCGUCAAGAACACCUAUAGCGAAGGCAGCUUACUGGGCUGUAACUGACGCUGAGGCACGAAAGUGUGGGGAUCAAACAGG